rnacentral:rRNA from 1 species
GACAAACGCUGGCGGCGUGCCUAAUACAUGCAAGUCGAACGAGAGCGCCCGGUGCUUGCACUGGUCAAUCUAGUGGCGAACGGGUGAGUAACACGUGGGUAACCUGCCCAUCAGAGGGGGAUAACAUCCGGAAACGGAUGCUAAAACCGCAUAGGUCUUCGAACCGCAUGGUUUGAAGAGGAAAAGAGGCGCAAGCUUCUGCUGAUGGAUGGACCCGCGGUGCAUUAGCUAGUUGGUGAGGUAACGGCUCACCAAGGCCGUGAUGCAUAGCCGACCUGAGAGGGUGAUCGGCCACAUUGGGACUGAGACACGGCCCAAACUCCUACGGGAGGCAGCAGUAGGGAAUCUUCCGCAAUGGACGCAAGUCUGACGGAGCAACGCCGCGUGAGUGAAGAAGGUUUUCGGAUCGUAAAACUCUGUUGUUAGAGAAGAACAAGUGCUAGAGUAACUGUUAGCGCCUUGACGGUAUCUAACCAGAAAGCCACGGCUAACUACGUG